AUUACUGUACCCUCCCGGCAGCCUCCGGCAGAACACGCAGCAGCAGCAGCAGUUAGCGCUGAUGCAACUAUCGUUGCUGUUGCCACCGCCUCCCCACUGACGGGGCGUGCACCUGGGGGGUACUUGCAGUUUCCAGGGGCAACAAGCAUCUCUCUACCACCCUCUCCUGCGCCCCUGAGAGAGGCUGGGACUGCAAGAAAAGACAAAGAAGAGAUGGAGAGAGAGUUGGCUGGCAUAAAGACUGCUCAAAACAAAAUGACAGAUGCUGGCAAGGAUACGGAGAAAAGGAAACCCUUAUAUGGUGUUGGUGGGAAUGUAAAUUAGUACAGCCACUAUGGAAAAUAGUAUGGAGUUUCUCAAUAAACUGAAAACAGAACUACCAUACUAUCCAGCAAUUUCAUUACUGGGUAUUUAUCCAAGAGAAAAGAAGUCAGUAUAUCAAAGGGAUACCUGCACUUGCAUGUUUCUUGCAGCACUAUUCACAUUAGCAAAGACAUGGAAUCAACCUAAGUGCCCAUCAAUGGGUGAAUGGACAAAGAAAAUGUGGUAUAGCUACACAACGGAAUCCUAUUCAGUUAUAAAAAAAGAAUAAGUUUAUGUCAUUUGCAGUAACAUAGAUGGAACUGGAGGUCAUUAUGCUGAGUGAAAUAAGCCAGGAACAGAAAGACAAAUACCUCAUGUUCUCACACUCAUGAGGGAGCUAAAAAAGUUGAUCUCAUGGAGAUAGAGAGUAGAAUGACAGAUAGCAGAGGCUAGGAAGAGAAUGGAGAGACAGUAAAGAGAGGCUGGUUAAUGGAUACAGAUAUGCAGUUAGACACAAGCAAUAAGCUCUAAUGUUUGAUAGUAAAGUGACCAUAGUUAAGAAGAACGUAUUAUAUAUUUCAAAAUAGCUAGAACGGAGAACUUGAAAUGUUUCUGACACAUAGUAAUGAUAAAUACUUGAGGUGAUGAGUACCCCAAAUACCCUGAUUGAACCAUUACACCAUCUAUGCACAUAACAAAAUAUCACACGCACUCUAUAAAUAUGUCAAGUAUUCAUAUCCGUAAAAACAGUUUUUAAAAAGACUCCUCAAAACAAGCAACAAAAGAUACAUGAAGGUCUUGGGAGAUCUCGUCUUUCCUUUGCAGUGAUUUCAUCAUAGACCUUGCCUGGCUAGAGGGGCAGUUUUCUAAAUGUGAAACAAAAAAAUGAUCACUAUGUCUUACAUAGUAUGGGAAGAAUGUCUUGAGUUUGUGUGUUGCCUUUCUUCUGAGUAGGUUCAAAGUACUUUGCAAACAUGACAUCAGUACUCCCUGGGAGGAGGCUGCAGGUGAAUUCUGAGGAGAAUAAUCCCUUUUCAGCAGUUAGGAGGAGCUAAGGCACAGAUCAACUUCCUCAGUGAAUUUGUGCAAAGUGUCCCCUAACUGUUCUAAGUCUCAUACACAGAAGGAUGGCAUUAAUACUUAAUGUGGCUAGAUGAAGUCUAAGUGAGAUCCUUGAUGAACUCCAUGUCUUAUACUUUAAAAAGGCACACUGUAAACUUUUAUAGUUUAUUUUUUUCUUGCCAGUGGCCAUUCUUAGAACUGGCCUUCCUCUAACAUCCGUUUGUGGAGCAAGGCAAAAAUAAAAUGACAACAAAACAAGAGAUACCAAGUAGUGUUUAUGUUAGCAUGACUUGCUACCAAAUUGGAUCACCUCGGGUAAAACUUGGAGUCUUAGAGGAUCCCCUGGAGAGGGAAAUGAAGCAUCCUUUUUCCCUCUGUUGUUUUGAUUAGGAUCUUGUAGCAAAGUAUGGCAGUUAAAAAUUCUGUUAGUAACUUGAAGGAAAAAUAAAUCAAUAGUUAUAAUUUGCAGUAGUUACAACUUCUUUUUCUGUUUUUACUAAGAAAUUUAAGUCUCAUCCACUAAAGCUGCUUGUAUUUUCCUUUUUUGAUUCUAGCUCCCCUCCCUUAAUCUCUGUCCUGUCUUCUGUUUGGCUCUCUUAAGAAAUCUCAGGAGGCCCUACCCAUGGAAGAAAGUUUAUAGAAUAUGAAGAGAAAUGGAGCUGUGCCUUGUAGAUCUAAUAUUGUUUCCUCUAAUCAAGUUCACUUCAGGAGACAAUUCAUUGGAGAAAUUACCUGAAAUAUUGCAGCAAGGAUUAUUUGGAAAUUGAAGGUGAAAAGAGGAACUAUUCAUCAGGCUCCAAGCUUGAUAUAGAAGACUAUCAUAUGAACCAGAAAGGGUAACUGAAACCAAAGAAAUGACUCCAGUAUCAAGCUAAAGACAUGCCUUAAAGGAUGAGGAGGAGCAGAAAUCUUACCAGCAAGGCAAGAAAGAAGCCGUACGUGAACAGCCUCUGCUUUAGGCCCAGAAGGAAAAGAAGCUUACAGGAGACAAUCAGUCUUACACUCUUCCAUGGUCACAAACAAGAGGUCCCUGGAUCUACAGGUGAGCAAGAGGUGAUCUGGGCUUUGGAGUAGGUACUGCAUUCUGAAUUCCCUGGCACAAUUAAAAGGCAAUAGAGCUAACAGUAGAAUCACCAAUUAUCUACUUUACCCGGGCAACGUGGGGGAUCUUAAUGUCUAUCUAAAAU
rnacentral:lncRNA from 1 species